AUAUAUAUAAACAUAAAGGUAGUAAUAAAUAACAAAACCUAUAAAGCUUGGCAGUUAUACACCAUUAGAGAAACUUGUUUUAUAAUCGACAAUACCCGAUAACUUUAACUUAUAAAAAAAACCUAUAUACCGCCGUUUAAGAAAUAAUAAAAAUAAAAUUUCUAAAUAACAUAAUUAAAAUAUCAGGUCAAGGUAUAGUCAAUAUAUAAGUAAAAAUUAGUUACAAAUAAAACAAAUUUAAGAAUCACUUAAUAAAAAAUUUCAUUGAAAAAGAAUCUAACAACAAUCUUUAGUUAAAAACUUAAAACGAAACAAACAUCUAUAAUGC
rnacentral:rRNA from 1 species